GACGAACGCUGGCGGCGUGCUUAACACAUGCAAGUCGAACGGAAAGACCCUGCGUUUGUGGGGUGCUCGAGUGGCGCACGGGUGAGUAACACGUGAGUAACCUGCCCUUGUCUUUGGGAUAACUUCAGGAAACUGGGGCUCAUACCGGAUAGGAGCUCCUGAUGCACGGUGGGGGUUGGAAAGUUUCGGCGGUUGGGGAUGGUCUCGCGGCUUAUCGGCUUGUUGGUGUGGUAGUGGCUUACCAAGGCUUUGACGGGUAGCCGGCCUGAGAGAGGGACCGGCCACAUUGGGACUGAGAGACGGCGCAGACUCCAACGGGAGGCAGCAGUGGGGAAUAUUGCGCAAUGGGCGGAAGCCUGAUGCAGCAACGCCGCGUGCGGGAUGACGGCCUUCGGGGUGUAAACCGCUUUCGCCUGUGACGAAGCGUGAGUGACGGUAAUGGGUAAAGAAGCACCGGCUAACUACGUG
rnacentral:rRNA from 1 species